rnacentral:rRNA from 1 species
GACGAACGCUGGCGGCGUGCUUAACACAUGCAAGUCGAACGGAAAGGCCCUGCUUUUGUGGGGUGCUCGAGUGCCGAACGGGUGAGUAACACGUGAGUAACCUGCCCUUGAUUUUGGGAUAACUUCAGGAAACUGGGGCUAAUACCGGAUAGGAGCUCCUGCUGCGUGGUGGGGGUUGGAACUUUUAGGCGGUUGUGGAUGGACUCGCGGCUUAUCAGCUUGUUGGUGGGGUAGUGGCUUACCAACGCUUUGACGGGUAGCCGGCCUGAGAGGGUGACCGGCGACAAUGGGACUGCGAUACGGCACAGUCUGCAACGUGAGGCAGCAGUGGGGAACAUUGCCCAGUGGGCGCAAGUCUGAUGCAGAGGCGCCGCGUGCGUAAUGACGUUUUGUUGGUUGUAAACCGCUGCCGCCUGAGACGAAGCGGUAGUGACGGUACUGGGUAAAGAAGCACCGGCUAACUACGUG